GCGGAGGGAUCAUUACCGAGCGAGGGCCCUGGGCCCGACCUCCAACCCUUUGUCAAUCAAAACCUGUUGCCUCGGGGGCGACCCGGCCUCCGGGCGUCGGGGCCCCCGGUGGACCAUCAAACUCUUGCGUCGAAGCGUCGGAUUGAAGAGUGAAUUAAUCAAAACUUUCAACAACGGAUCUCUUGGUUCUGGCAUCGAUGAAGAACGCAGCGAAAUGCGAUAAGUAAUGUGAAUUGCAGAAUUCAGUGAAUCAUCGAGUUUUUGAACGCACAUUGCGCCCUUUGGCAYUCCGAGGGGCACGCCCGUUCGAGCGUCAUUUCACCACUCAAGCCUGGCUUGGUGUUGGGUCCACGGGGGCGACCCGGACCCCAAAGUGUCGGCGGGAAGGCUCCGAUCUCAGCGUUGUGGCAAACCAAAUCCGCUGGCGAGACGGGCGUCCUGUGCCGUUAAAACUUUAUUCAGGUUGACCUCGGAUCGGGUGGGGAUACCCGCUGAACUUAA
rnacentral:rRNA from 1 species